UCGGUAUAUCAGCAUCAUGCACCUGCAGUAUCAAAACUAAAAGUUAGCCCAUACAUACAGACGGACGGCCAUCAUCCUUGGCCAAGGUGAAGCCUUCCUAAGCAGAACAACGACACAGGUUACACAUUCAUUUUGAUUGUAUUAACGGUAGCAAAAUUAAUAGAGAACUCGUAUAAGACACUCAGAAGAAUCUCGAGUGAACAAUUGUAGAAUACAAAAUGAAUCAAGGACCAACACAUUAUUUAUUUAUUAAAAUUCAGUCUUAUGCAUAGAUAGAAAUUAAAAAUUGAUAGCAAGAACUAAAAGGAUAAUUUAUAAUUUUUGCAGUACUUAGAACACCUCAAAAAUGAGAAUAUAGGAGGUAAAUGAGAAGUUUAAAGCAAGAUCACAACCAGAAUUAGAUUAUGGUGGAAUCAACAUAAUGUGAAAUGUGAAACAUUGUUAGCAUGACAGUUUUACGUACUGUCCUUAAUUCUUCUUUUGCCCACCAAUUAACCAAUGCUAGUACAUGUUCAUCUAAUCCAUACAAACAAUUAAGAAUAGCUAUCACCUAACAAACACUAUAUUAUAUACGGGUGCAUGUUAAUAAUGGUAAUACCGACCAGCAGCGUCAUCACAUGUCUUUGCGAUCCUCAGGAGAGCAAAUUAUCAAAUAUGUGCAGUGCAACAUGUGAACAUACGUUGCAGAAUUAGGAUAGUAAAUACUGUACAAACUAAGAUCGAACCUGUAGAAGUCCCCAUCCUCUCGUCCUACGAUUCCAGAUCGAACAGACCAUGGCAUCCAACCCUGUUCUAGAUCGACUCUUCUUCCCAUUCUCCAGUCCUCAUCCUCUCAUAUUAUUGAGUCCCCACCUGGCUAGGUGUGGAGAGAGCGAGAUAAGGGGGAGCGGCGCUCCUUGAGGUUCCUUCAGCGGCGGCGCUGUCAGGGCGGCUGUUUCCUCCAGGUCGCUUGGACGGGAGGUUUCGAGAGGGGACGAACAGAUGUGCAGGGGAGAGAAGAAUGGCUAGAUCGAGAGGAAGGGGCCGAGCGAUGAUGGUGGCGGCGCAACCUCUGCGUCGGCGAGAAAGAGAAGAGAUGGG
rnacentral:lncRNA from 1 species